UACGUAGGGACCAAGCGUUGUCCGGAAUCAUUGGGCGUAAAGAGCGUGUAGGCGGCUUGUUAAGUCUUGCGUGAAAUCUCGGGGCUCAACCCCGAGCGGUCGUGAGAAACUGGCAGGCUAGAGUGCGGGAGAGGAGAGUGGAAUUCCUGGUGUAGCGGUGAAAUGCGCAGAUAUCGGGAGGAACACCAAUGGCGAAGGCAGCUCGCUGGGACGGUACUGACGCUGAGACGCGAAAGCGUGGGGAGCAAACAGG
rnacentral:rRNA from 1 species